CCUACGGGCGGCAGCAAUUAGGAAUCUUGCGCAAUGGGCGAAAGCCUGACGCAGCGACGCCGCGUGACUGAUGAAGUCUCUCGGGAUGUAAAGGUCUUUUCUGAAGGAAGAAAAAAAUGACGGUACUUCAGGAAUAAGCCCCGGCUAACUACGUGCCAGCAGCCGCGGUAAUACGUAGGGGGCGAGCGUUGUCCGAAUUUACUGGGCGUAAAGCGCGCGUAGGCGGACUAUGAAGUUGGUGGUGAAAUCCCGAGGCUCAACCUCGGAACUGCCUCCGAAACUGUUAGGCUGGAGGUAGGGAGAGGAAAGUGGAAUUCCUGGUGUAGCGGUGAAAUGCGUAGAUAUCAGGAGGAACACCCAUGGCGAAGGCAGCUUUCUGGCCAUAUUCUGACGCUGAGGUGCGAAAGCUAGGGUAGCGAACG
rnacentral:rRNA from 1 species